rnacentral:rRNA from 1 species
UACGGGGGGGUAAGCGUUGUUCGGAAUUACUGGGCGUAAAGGGCUCGUAGGUGGUCAACUAAGUCAGACGUGAAAUCCCUCAGCUUAACUGGGGAACUGCGUCUGAUACUGGAUGGCUUGAGUUUGGGAGAGGGACGCGGAAUUCCAGGUGUAGCGGUGAAAUGCGUAGAUAUCAGGAGGAACACCAAUGGCGAAGGCGAGUCCCUGGACAAUACCUGACACUGAGGCACGAAAGCCAAGGGAGCAAACGGG